GGAUGUGAGGGUGAUCUAGUUGCAAUAUCUGACACCCCACUGAUGGCCAGGGUUGAUUCCGCUGAUCUGGCUGGCCAGGCGGGUGUCCCCUUCCUCCCUCAAUGAUCCAUGUGCAUCCCUCCCGAAGCUGUGUGCUCAGUCGAAGAGGACGACCUUCCCCGAUAGAGGAGGACCAUUCCUAGGUCAAGGGUAUACGAGUAGCUGGGCUCCCCUGCUAGGACCUCCAAACAAGCUCUCAAAGAUAUUAGCAACACUUAUCCCAGUCUGUUAUGUAAAUCUGCAGGGACUGUUUAUUACCUUGUGCUGUCUCAUGU
rnacentral:snRNA from 1 species